rnacentral:lncRNA from 1 species
UUCUCUCUGCAGAAAGAACAGAAGGCAAGAUCUGUCAGGCAUGGCCUGCGGUGGAGCCUACCUAAGCUGGCGGCCACCCCAGCUCUGCAGGAUAGUUGGUGGAGAAGGUGACCACUGUUCAGAUGUGCCAGAGGCAGAUGUGCACAGGGGACACUGGGCCGGCCAGCCUGCUUGCAUAUGAAUCUUCACCUACAGCAGAGGGGAGAGAGGCUCUCUUAGUGAGCCAAUGCUUUCUUCUUCCACCUUUGUCUCAAUCUACUUUGUCCCAUUCUCCUUUACCUCCUCUCUUCCUCCUACAGGUUAUGAUUCUUCCCAGAUGACAAUGUGGCUGGCUGGGUCAGGAAUCCUAUCCAGGAAAGAUGCGGAGGUGACCUAAUUCUCAGAGUUAUGGAAACAGGAAACCUACCGGAAUCUGGAGCAUGAAGCAAAUUCAUAGGAAGAAUCUGAACAUUAGGAUGGAAGUUCCAGUGCUCCAGUUCCAAGAACAGAAGAAGACCCAAGUGGGGGACUUUCUUCUCUUUGUCCUUCUGCAAACCCCUGUCCCCCCUUCACCCCUUUCUCCUCCCCUGCCUUCAUCACUGCCUCUAGGUUUUCUCCCCCAAGUCUCCUCCUUCCACUGCUGCCCCCUCUCCCUUUCACUCUCAUGCUUCAGGUCUGGAAUCUCCGUUAUGCACAAAGGGCCUCAUGGGGUCUGUGUCUUUGGGGGUUAAAUCCUCCAGAGUUGGAGAUUUAUGAAAUUAGCCCCACAGUGGUUUAGGUAAGAGGAUGUUGUCCUAAAAAAAUGAAGAAGCAGCCAGGUGCGGUGGCUCACGCCUGUAAUCCCAGCACUUUGGGAGGCCAAGGCAGGUGGUUCACCUGAAGUCAGGAGUUCGAGAGCAGACUGGCCGACAUGGCAAAACCCUGUUUCUACUAAAAAUACAAAAAUUAGCCAGGCAUGGUGGUGGACGCCUGCAAUCCUAGCUCAGGAAGCUGAGGCAGGAGAAUAGCUUGAAUCCAGAAGGCAGAGGUUGCAGUGACUUCAGAUAGCUCCAUUGCACUCCAGCCUAGGUGACAGGUGAGACUCUGUUUAAAAAAAAAAAAAGAAGAAGAAGAAGCCCUGCCUCUCCAAACUGCACACAUUCCUUGAGCCCCUGGCCUUCCUCUGUGGCCCUUUGCUUCUUUCUGGUGCCCCUGCCAGCCCAGGGCUAAGAGGAUUCCUGUGAAUGGUGAGGUUACACAAUGGGCAGGGAGCUCUGAACAAUGCUCCCACUUCCUCCCCUUUUUCUAGGGUGUGUAACUGCCCAGCGCCUUCACAAUUUCCAGUCCUGCAUGGAAGACGUGUCUGGAUAUUGGUGAAUACAUAGAUGAACUACUGCAGGAGCGCACACUUGAGUAUAUUUUUGUGUGGGUAGCCAUCAGACUGGGAAAGAAUGGGGUGGGGAUCUAAGAAUGGGCACAUUCUGGCCGGUGAAUAAAGGAAGACCAUUUUGAAAUAUCAAUGUAACCCCAGACACCUGCCUUUUCUGCAAAGCUACCUUAUACUGAGUGAAUACUGAUUUGGUGGAUGUGCCAUUGCUGCCUGGAAAGAUCCUCUGCUCUUGGCAAGAGGCAGCAGGGAAUGUGAAGAGGCCCCUGAGUUUGCAGGGAAGGGCCUAGGGCAGGGUUUGUGCCUGCUGGGGCAGGGCCAGUGUGAUGGAAGAGUGCCCCCUAGUGAGUCACAUCUCCAGUUGCUGGGGUCAGCUCAGCCCAGGGCUCCCCAGGUGGGUCUUGGGUCUGAGGUUGGGGGUGAGGGGAGGGGGAGGGGAAGAGAUGUUUGGGACAGGAUUUCAUCCUGGGACAGGUGUCUCUCAGACCUCUCCAAGAAUGGACUCAUGGCUCCAGUUGUGUUUCUGCACUUUCCUCCCAUUUCAGCCUCUGCUGGGCUUUCACGUGGUCUUUAAAGAGAUACCAUCUUUAACAUAAACAGCCUUAUAUCAUUGGCGUGGGAAAACACCUUGCAUUCACUCACCCAUUCACCCUUCCACAUAUCUAUUCUGUCAUGUAUUUCAUACCUUCAAUCAACAAACAUUCCCUGCGCACCUGCUCUGAGUCAGCCCCUAUGAGUCAAAGGGGGCUUCCAUUCUUGCAGGGCUCUCAGGCCACUUGGUGCAGGGGAAAAAGAAGCAAGUACACUACAAAGUGGAGAGUUACACCUUGAAGGAAGGGAGCAUGGGCACAGGGAGGCAGUCAUGACGGGCUUCCUGGAAGAGACAUUUCUCAAGCUGAGUGCUGAAGGCCAAGUUGAACAGUGAGAUGUCUUCCCCAGGCUGGCAUCUGGAGAACCUGCACUAGAAGCACAGACCCCCUGGUUUACUAAAACAGUGGCAGGAACUGUUGAACCAUUCUUGGGUGGCCAUUGAUCUGCAGCCAUCCAUAUGUCCCUCCCUAGGAGUAAUCCUGGAGGGAAGGAGGACUACAAAGGCACAUGGAAACUUGAGUGGAGGGUGCUGGAUAUAUUUACUCUCUUGACUGUGGUGUACUUAUGAUGAAACUUAUCAAACUGUGCAUUUUAAAUAGGUGGGUUUACUAUAUAUUAAGUAUACCUCAAAAGAAAAAGGGGAAAAAAAGUCAAAUAGUUCUACAAUGUAAGAAAGCAGUCCCCUGUUUUACUCUUUCCCCCACCAAAUUCCAUUCCAAAGAGACAAUCACUUUAAACAUCUUUUAAAUUUUAUUUUUAUUACUUUUUUU